CCAAGAAAAAAUGUGAGAAGCAACUUGCUAAGAUGCAAAAAUUAACAGUAAGAAUUUUUUUAAGUACAUCAGAAGCAGGAAAACCAGGGAACAGAGCCA